UAAUGUACCUUUGGGUGGGGAAUAACAGUCGGAAACGACUGCUAAUACCGCAUAAUGCAGCGGCAUCGCAAGAUGACAGUUGUUAAAGCGAGCAAUCGCGCCUAAAGAGCAGUCUGCGGCAGAUUAGCUAGUUGGUAAGGUAAUGGCUUACCAAGGCUACGAUCUGUAACCGACCUGAGAGGGUGGUCGGUCACACUGACACUGAAUAACGGGUCAG
rnacentral:rRNA from 1 species